UGAAUGGGAUGAAUCGGCUCGGAUGUAAUCGUCUUCCAGUAGGGAGAAGCGAAAGUGACCGUACUGCAGAAGAAGCGCCGACUAACUACGUGCCAGCAGCCGCGGUAAUACGUAGGGCGCAAGCGUUAUCCGGAAUUAUUGGGCGUAAAGAGCUCGUAGGCGGUUUGUCGCGUCUGCCGUGAAAGUCCGGGGCUCAACUCCGGAUCUGCGGUGGGUACGGGCAGACUAGAGUGAUGUAGGGGAGACUGGAAUUCCUGGUGUAGCGGUGAAAUGCGCAGAUAUCAGGAGGAACACCGAUGGCGAAGGCAGGUCUCUGGGCAUUAACUGACGCUGAGGAGCGAAAGCAUGGGGAGCGAACAGGAUUAGAUACCCUGGUAGUCCAUGCCGUAAACGUUGGGCACUAGGUGUGGGGGACAUUCCACGUUUUCCGCGCCGUAGCUAACGCAUUAAGUGCCCCGCCUGGGGAGUACGGCCGCAAGGCUAAAACUCAAAGGAAUUGACGGGGGCCCGCACAAGCGGCGGAGCAUGCGGAUUAAUUCGAUGCAACGCGAAGAACCUUACCAAGGCUUGACAUGGGCCGGACCGGGCUGGAAACAGUCCUUCCCCUUUGGGGCCGGUUCACAGGUGGUGCAUGGUUGUCGUCAGCUCGUGUCGUGAGAUGUUGGGUUAAGUCCCGCAACGAGCGCAACCCUCGUUCCAUGUUGCCAGCGCGUAAUGGCGGGGACUCAUGGGAGACUGCCGGGGUCAACUCGGAGGAAGGUGGGGACGACGUCAAAUCAUCAUGCCCCUUAUGUCUUGGGCUUCACGCAUGCUACAAUGGCCGGUACAAAGGGUUGCGAUACUGUGAGGUGGAGCUAAUCCCAAAAAGCCGGUCUCAGUUCGGAUUGGGGUCUGCAACUCGACCCCAUGAAGUCGGAGUCGCUAGUAAUCGCAGAUCAGCAACGCUGCGGUGAAUACGUUCCCGGGCCUUGUACACACCGCCCGUCAAGUCACGAAAGUUGGUAACACCCGAAGCCGGUGGCCUAACCCCUUGAKGGUAGG
rnacentral:rRNA from 1 species